rnacentral:rRNA from 1 species
CACGCCGUAAACGAUGAGUACUAGGUGUAGGGGGUAUCGACCCCCCCUGUGCCGCAGUAAACACAAUAAGUACUCCGCCUGGGAAGUACGAUCGCAAGAUUAAAACUCAAAGGAAUUGACGGGGGCCCGCACAAGCAGCGGAGCAUGUGGUUUAAUUCGAAGCAACGCGAAGAACCUUACCUGGACUUGACAUACCCUGAAUAUCUUAGAGAUAAGAGAAGCCUUUCGGGGCAGGGAUACAGGUGG